rnacentral:lncRNA from 1 species
GGGACGGGAGGGGCGGCCCAGCCCUCGGACUUCCAGUAACAGGUCUGUGGGGCGGGGCUGGGCUUCCUGCUCCCGGGGGAGGGAAGCCUGGCCAGUCGGGGAUCUACCCGGUCAACCCCUGGCAUCCAAACUUCCACUCUUCCAAUGGGGGAGAAGGGAGGCAGAACCCCAAGUCCUCAAGCCUGGGGCAGCUUCAUUGGGUCCAGCCUUCAGCUGGUUUCUGGUCCCCCUAUCCUGGCAUCCGUACCGAGGGCUUUCUUGGAAUCUCAGAAAAACAUUGUCAGAGGGAAACUGAGGCACAGAGGAGGAAGAAACAGCCAGCUGAGGUUCACGCCCACCUUGACUGAGCAGCAGCAGUCAACUGCAUGGAAUGUUCAUUCUAUGCUCCGCCCAGGCCUAAACCCUCCCCUGGCUCAGCAGAUACCCAAGCAAUAAAUCAGAGAAUUGGGAAAUCCACCAUGAGCAUGAAGGAAUGACGUGGACUAGAGGAGAAAUUAUCCAAGUGUGUGUGUGUGUGAGUGUGUGUGAGAGAGUGUAUGAGUGUGUGUGACUGUGUGCAUGUGUGUGUGUGAGAGUAUGUGUGUGUGCAUGUGUGUGUGAGAGUGUGUGAGUGUAUGUGUGAGUGUGUGUGUAUGUGUGUGUAAGUCGUGGAGAGUGGAGCGUCCUGUUGUGUGAGUCCUACCUCAAGUUUGUGAAUGCGAGUGUGCACGGACCCUGUGAGCUCACCCACUACACAGGAACAACAAUGAUGCUAAACAACACUCAGGUGGCUUCUGCGGGGCUGGGCUGGAACCUGGGCCUCCUCUGCCUGCUACUCAAGCAAGCACUCUCAACUAUGCUGCAUCCCCAGCCCCUCCUUUUGUUUUUCUAGUCCAGGCUGGCUGUGAACUCAUGAAUUCUUCAGUCUCUACCCUUAGCCUCCCCAGAACGAGGCUUACGGGUAUGCACAGGGCGCUCUAGCUGAAGUUUACUGGACACAUGAUGUACG